GGAAUAUUGGACAAUGGGCGCAAGCCUGAUCCAGCCAUGCCGCGUGAGUGAAGAAGGCCUUCGGGUUGUAAAGCUCUUUCGGCCGGCACGAAAUCGUCCGGGCUCAUACCCCGGAUGGAUGACGGUCCCGGAAGAAGAAGCCCCGGCUCACUCCGUGCCAGCAGCCGCGGUAAUACGUAGGGUGCAGGCGUUAAUCGGAAUUACUGGGCGUAAAGCGUGCGCAGGCGGCUACUCAAGUCAGAUGUGAAAUCCCCGGGCUUAACCUGGGAACUGCGUUUGAAACUGGGUGGCUAGAGUGCGGCAGAGGGGGGUGGAGUUCCACGUGUAGCAGUGAAAUGCGUAGAUAUGUGGAGGAACACCGAUGGCGAAGGCAGCCCCCUGGGCCUGCACUGACGCUCAUGCACGAAAGCGUGGGGAGCAAA
rnacentral:rRNA from 1 species